rnacentral:rRNA from 1 species
UCCUCCCUCUUUCUUCGUGCUUAACACAUGCAAGUCGAACGGAAAGGCCCUGCUUUUGUGGGGUGCUCGAGUGGCGAACGGGUGAGUAACACGUGAGUAACCUGCCCUUGACUUUGGGAUAACUUCAGGAAACUGGGGCUAAUACCGGAUAGGAGCUCCUGCUGCAUGGUGGGGGUUGGAAAGUUUCGGCGGUUGGGGAUGGACUCGCGGCUUAUCAGCUUGUUGGUGGGGUAGUGGCUUACCAAGGCUUUGACGGGUAGCCGGCCUGAGAGGGUGACCGGCCACAUUGGGACGGAGAUACGGCCCAGACGCCUACGGGAGGCAGCAGGGGGGAAUAUUGCACAAUGGGCGGAAGCCUGAUGCAGCAACGCCGCGUGCGGGAGGACGGCCUUCGGGUUGUAAACCGCUUUCGCCUGUGACGAAGCGUGAGGGACGGGAAUGGGUAAAGAAGCACCGGCGAACUACGU